ACAUGCCUACAACACAAUGUUACUGCACCGGAUCCCAUUAGAACUUUGCAGUUAAGCGCGUUCAAGCUAGAUUAGUACUGGAAUAGGUGAUCGCCUGAGAAGUCCUAGUGUUUUACAUGAC
rnacentral:rRNA from 1 species